rnacentral:misc_RNA from 1 species
UCCGACUUGGAGCCGGCAGUCUCCUGUGAAAAAACAACACAGGAUGAGGGUUGCGCUCGUUCAUUGACUUAACAACACACCUCAAGGCACGAGCUGACGACGACCGUGCAGCACCUGUCUUUAGGUUCCUUGCGGCACUCCCCUGUUUCCAGGGGAUUCCUAAGAUGUCAAGCCUGGGUGAGGUGCCCCGCUUAGUAUCGAAUUAAACCCCAUGCUCCACUGCUUGUGUGGGUCCCCGUCUAUUCCUUUGAGUUUUAACCUUGCGGCCGUACUCCCCAGGCGGCGUGUUUACCGCGUAAGCUAAGGCACGGAGGAUCGAUUGAACGUUCCCCCACACCGAACACGCAUCGUUUAGGGCGUGGACUA